rnacentral:tRNA from 1 species
AUUUAUAUAGUAUAUUUAAUACAUUUAACUUCCAAUUAAAAAAUUUAAUUAUUUAAUAUAAAUA